CCCCUUCCCUGCUCACACUCUGUCUCUGUCUGUCUCUCUCUCUGAAAAAUAAGUAAACAUUAAAAAAAAAAGAAGUCCGAAAGAACUAUAUGAUUUUUCUGUAAAAGUAUAAAUUAACAAAACUGAUCCAAGAAAAGUUAGAAAAAAAAAACCCCUCCUGAACAGACCCAUAACUGUAUCCUAGAUUGGAAAGAUAAUUAAAGACCUCCCAUUAGAAAAAAAAAAAAAAAAAGUUAUGCCACAGAAGCAUGUAUCAAGACAAGAUAGUUUUAUAAUUAGGUUCUAUUUAAUCCUUAAAAACAGGUAAUACAUAUGGUUUUGUGUGCUAUACCAAGCCACAAAAAAUGUAUAAACUCCCUUAAACCUUAAAAUCUGGUAAGUACAAACCAUAGGUAUAGUUAUUGA